CAGCCUCUAGCACCAUAUCGAGGGUCAUUGUAGCUGUCGUGGCACGGGAGGUGGCACGCGUCAUGUGUCUUGGCUUGGCUCGUGGGCACCAAGCAAGGCCACAUGGCACGCGUCGCGUGUCUUGGCUCGGCUCGCGGGCACCAAGCAAGGCCCCGUGGCACCUUGGCUUGGCUCGCGGGCGGGCACCAUGCAAGGCCUCGUGCCACCUUGGCUUGGCUCGCGGGCACCAAGCAAGGCCCCGUGGCACGCGUCGCGUGUCUUGGCUUGGCUCACAGGCGGGCACCAUGCAAGGCCUCGUGCCACCUUGGCUUGGCUCGCGGGCACCAAGCAAGGCCCCGUGGCACCUUGGCUUGGCUCGCGGGAGGGCACCAUGCAAGGCCCCGUGCCACCUUGGCUUGGCUCGCGGGCACCAAGCAAGGCCCCGUGGCACCUUGGCUUGGCUCGCGGGCAGGCACCAUGCAAGGCCCCGUGGCACCUUGGCUUGGCUCGUGGGCGGGCACCAUGGAAGGCCUCGUGCCACCUUGGCUUGGCUCGCGGGCACCAAGCAAGGCCCCGUGGCACCUUGGCUUGGCUCGCGGGAGGGCACCAUGCAAGGCCCCGUGCCACCUUGGCUUGGCUCGCGGGCACCAAGAAAGGCCCCGUGGCACCUUGGCUUGGCUCGCGGGCGGGCACCAUGCAAGGCCUCGUGCCACCUUGGCUUGGCUCGCGGGCACCAAGGGAGGGCCCGUGGCACGCGUCGUGUGUCUUGGCUUGGCUCAUGGGCGGGCACCAAGCAAGGCCCCGUGGCACCUUGGCUUGGCUCGCGGGUGGGCACCAUGCAAGGCCUCGUCCAACCUUGGCUUGGCUCGCGGGCACCAAGCAAGGCCCCGUGGCACGCGUCGCGUGUCUUGGCUUGGCUCACGGGCGGGCACCAAGCAAGGCCCCGUGGCACGUGUCGCGUGUCUUGGCUUGGCUCACGGGCGGGCACCAAGCAAGGCCCCGCGGCACCUUGGCAUGGCUCGCGGGAGGGCACCAUGCAAGGUCCCGUGCCACCUUGGCUUGGCUCGCGGGCACCAAGCAAGGCCCCGUGGCACGCGUCGCGUGUCUUGGCUUGGCUCACGGGCGGGCACCAUGCAAGGCCUCGUGCCACCUUGGCUUGGCUCGCGGGCACCAAGCAAGGCCCCGUGGCACCUUGGCUUGGCUCGCGGGCGGGCACCAUGCAAGGCCUCGUGCCACCUUGGCUUGGCUCGCGGGCACCAAGCAAGGCCCCGUGGCACCUUGGCUUGGCUCGCGGGAGGGCACCAAGCAAGGCCCCGUGCCACCUUGGCUUGGCUCGCGGGCACCAAGCAAGCCCCCGUGGCACCUUGGCUUGGCUCGCGGGCAGGCACCAUGCAAGGCCCCGUGGCACCUUGGCUUGGCUCGUGGGCGGGCACCAUGCAAGGCCUCGUGCCACCUUGGCUUGGCUCGCGGGCACUAAGCAAGGCCCCGUGGCACCUUGGCUUGGCUCGCGGGAGGGCACCAUGCAAGGCCCCGUGCCACCUUGGCUUGGCUCGCGGGCACCAAGCAAGGCCCCGUGGCACCUUGGCUUGGCUCGCGGGCGGGCACCAUGCAAGGCCUCGUGCCACCUUGGCUUGGCUCGCGGGCACCAAGCUAGGCCCCGUGGCACGCGUCGCGUGUCUUGGCUUGGCUCACGGGCGGGCACCAAGCAAGGCCCCGUGGCACCCUGGCUUGGCUCGCGGGCACCAUGCAAGGCCCCGUGGCACCUUGGCUUGGCUCGUGGGCGGGCACCAUGCAAGGCCUCGUGCCACCUUGGCUUGGCUAGCGGGCACCAAGCAAGGCCCCGUGGCACCUUGGCUUGGCUCGCGGGCGGGCACCAUGCAAGGCCUCGUGCCACCUUGGCUUGGCUCGCGGGCACCAAGCAAGGCCCCGUGGCACGCGUCGUGUGUCUUGGCUUGGCUCGCGGGCGGACACCAAGCAAGGCCCCGUGCCACCAUGGCUUGGCUCGCGGGCACCAAGCAAGCCCCCGUGGCACCUUGGCUUGGCUCGCGGGCAGGCACCAUGCAAGGCCCCGUGGCACCUUGGCUUGGCUCGUGGGCGGGCACCAUCCAAGGCCUCGUGCCACCUUGGCUUGGCUCGCGGGCACCAAGCAAGGCCCCGUGGCACCUUGGCUUGGCUCGCGGGAGGGCACCAUGCAAGGCCCCGUGCCACCUUGGCUUGGCUCGCGGGCACCAAGCAAGGCCCCGUGGCACCUUGGCUUGGCUCGCGGGAGGGCACCAUGCAAGGCCCCGUGCCACCUUGGCUUGGCUCGCGGGCACCAAGCAAGGCCCCGUGGCACCUUGGCUUGGCUCGCGGGCGGGCACCAUGCAAGGCCUCGUGCCACCUUGGCUUGGCUCGCAGGCACCAAGCAGGGCCCCGUGGCACGCGUCGUGUGUCUUGGCUUGGCUCGCGGGCGGGCACCAAGCAAGGCCCCGUGCCACCUUGGCUUGGCUCGCGGGCGGGCACCAAGCAAGGCCUCGUGGCAC
rnacentral:lncRNA from 1 species